rnacentral:rRNA from 1 species
GACGAACGCUGGCGGCGUGCUUAACACAUGCAAGUCGAACGAUGAAGCCGGAGCUUGCUCCGGUGGAUUAGUGGCGAACGGGUGAGUAACACGUGAGCAAUCUGCCCUUGACUCUGGGAUAACUGCGGGAAACUGUAGCUAAUACCGGAUACGACACCUUGGGGCAUCCCAGGGUGUGGAAAGAAUUGCGGUCAAGGAUGAGCUCGCGGCCUAUCAGCUAGUUGGUGAGGUAAUGGCUCACCAAGGCGACGACGGGUAGCCGGCCUGAGAGGGUGACCGGCCACACUGGAACUGAGACACGGUCCAGACUGCUACGGGGGGCAGCGGUGGGGAAUAUUGCACAAUGGGCGAAAGCCUGAUGCAGCAACGCCGCGUGAGGGAUGAAGGCCUUCGGGUUGUAAACCUCUUUUAGCAGGGAAGAAGCGAAAGUGACGGUACCUGCAGAAAAAGCACCGGCUAACUACGUGCCAGCCGCCGCCGUAA